UACGGGGGGGGUAAGCGUUGUUCGGAAUUACUGGGCGUAAAGGGCUCGUAGGCGGCCAACUAAGUCAUACGUGAAAUCCCUCAGCUUAACUGGGGAACUGCGUGUGAUACUGGAUGGCUUGGAUUUGGGAGAGGGAUGCGGAAUUCCAGGCGUAGCGGUGAAAUGCGUAGAUAUCUGGAGGAACACCGGUGGCGAAGGCGGCAUCCUGGACCAAUAUUGACGCUGAGGAGCGAAAGCCAGGGGAGCAAACGGG
rnacentral:rRNA from 1 species